UACGAGCAACCCCUGCUGAAUCUGAUGAAGAAGUAGAGAUAGAGAGGGAUGUUGGUGAUGUUGGAUCCUAAUUUCAGUUCCUAUCUCACCACAGGACCUUGGAUAAUCCAGCACUGGGUGAGCCUUCCAAACUGGUAGUCUGAGCCCCAUGUGGAAGAGGGAGGAGAAGAGAAAGACAGCGGUAUGGUAGAACAUCCCAGACUGCCAUGCAGUCUAAGAAAGGUUCUGCAAGGCCACUGAAGAGUCUUCAAGCCAAAGUCGGCUGUCAGAGGAGUUCUGUGUCUCCUAGAAUUUCCAGACUAAGUAUGUCUUAGUAUAACUUCAUACUCAGCCAGUCGCUGAGAGAAACCACGGAAGGCAUGGGCUCAAUGCAAAUACAGCAAUGGAUUUCAAAGUGCA
ensembl:lncRNA novel transcript, antisense to VPS13C